UGGGGACGUGGAGGGGUUGGUGGUGGGUAGAUCGAGGGAGGGGAAGGGAGUCUGUUAUUGGGUUGACCCCACAUCUCCACUCCCCCCACUCCCACCACCACCACCACCACCGCGGCUCGAGCCAUCGACCCAAAUUGAAAUGGACUUUGAAGUUAUUCGUCAUACUGAAAGCUUUGUUGUCCCCGUUCGGGAUAAUGAAGUGCAUGAGAACUCAGUCUCCAGUGUCAAUACACAAUAGACGACGUUUCAGUGCCGUGGCUGCAUAAGAGUAUGGAUUUCUGGCACAAUGUCCAAGGUGCAUGCAGAGGGGAAACGGUGUUAAGAGGUCAUAAAGUUGUUCUUUGUACUACAAGUGCUGCUGGAGUUUUGACAUUGCUGCAUCCUCAGAAGCCUGCCUAUAAACCAUCGGAGUGUUGUCACAGUAACAGCAAACACAGGCCAGUUGCCACAGCGCUGGCAUGUCCCAUCUGAAGGCCAGGACGUCUGGGAUACCUGAUACCUCACUGACCAAUCACAUGGUCACAGAGAGAUACCUGAUCUGCUGCGAGCCAAUGAGACGCCUCCUGCAUACAGUUGGAUGAAUGCCACAGCUGCAGCCGGUAUAUGAGUGGCCAAUAAGAAUAAUAUGUGACAGUGGACAUACCAUGUUGUUGUUGUAAGAGUGUGAUCAGACCACAGCCUGGAUUCAACAGAUUAAAACAAAACUGUAAGACUUUAAGUGUGACAUAACACAGGGAUUGUUUUAAGAUGGAAUCCAAACUAAUCUUAUACAACAGUACACGUGACAGAAGAAAAACACAUCAUAUACAGUACAAGGGGAUUAUGAAGGAUAUGUGGGAGAUAAUGGACUUUCAACAUAACACUACAUAAACAGUACAACUUUACAGUAUAGCUUUGAAUCAAUAUACUGUUGCUUGGAUGUUUCACAAGGAAUUUAUUGAAAGAAGCUUUUAUAAUCAGUCACACACACACACACACACACACACGGAAGGCAAUCUGAUUUUUUUCUUCAUUCCCUAAGACAGCCACCUAUAAAAAAAAGUGGCAUUUUCAAGAAAUGAGGUCAUCAUGUUAAUGUGUAUAUGUGGCUGUGAUUAGUGCUUCUAUUAAUAGUCUGAUGUACUUUCAUACCACUGGAGCUCAUAAGCAGACAAUCUUCAGACCCGUUAAAGUCGAGUCAGGCCGAAACCAAAGAAUAUGUUUUAUUAUUCAUAAAUGUUUUUUACCCAUUAAUUAAUCAUUUGGGUUUAUAUGCAGAAAAUUGGGGAGAUGCCAGGCACCCUUACCCAUGAGGCUGAGGAGGCGUCUUAAAGCGACUUGUUUUUUUGUGCGACCAACAGUUAAAGAAACUGAAGUGUCUGAACGUUAGUGAAAAGCAAGGCAAGGCAAGUUUAAUUAUAUAGCACCUUUCAGACACCAGGCAAUUCAAAGUGCUUUACACAGGCACAAAAAGCAUUUCAAACAUUUCACAAGAUAAUAAAACAAUGAACAAAA